CUCAUUCUUUGGGUGCUGAUUCUGACUGAGCCCGGUGAGAGAGCGCGCAGUAGUAGCUCGGAGCGGCGAUGCUGCGCGAUACAGAGGCGUUAUCAGCUUAAGAAUACUGGAGCAUCCCUCGCGGCAACUGUUAACUGGCUCGUGAGAGUGCCUGCAUGCGCAAAACACGUUCCCGUUGGUAACUCCCGACUGUGCAGAAUUAGGCGGCAUCAUUCGCUCAUAUCUUCAUUAGAGAACCGGCUGACUCCCAGGUGGUAGCAUCAGAGACCCAGCCCUUUGGAGGACGUGCCUGGCUGUUAGCAGUCCGGUCUACAGAUUAUCCAGAGGUGUGGCCUUCCAGAGCCUCUGCCCCGCCCACUCUCUCCACUCUGCUCUGGCGUACCUGUCUCAGGUCCCUGUAGGGCAGCCAUGACAGAAACGGUGACGGCCAGGCACGGCAAG